rnacentral:rRNA from 1 species
GAUGAACGCUGGCGGCGUGCUUAACACAUGCAAGUCGAACGAUGAAAGCGGGAGCUUGCUCCUGCUGGAUUAGUGGCGAACGGGUGAAUAACACGUGAGCAAUCUGCCCCGAACUCUGGGAUAAGCGUUGGAAACGACGUCUAAUACCGGAUACGACGCGCGAAGGCAUCUUCUGCGCGUGGAAAGAAUUUCGGUUCGGGAUGAGCUCGCGGCCUAUCAGCUAGUUGGUGAGGUAACGGCUCACCAAGGCGACGACGGGUAGCCGGCCUGAGAGGGUGACCGGCCACACUGGGACUGAGACACGGCCCAGACUCCUACGGGAGGCAGCAGUGGGGAAUAUUGCACAAUGGGCGAAAGCCUGAUGCAGCAACGCCGCGUGAGGGACGACGGCCUUCGGGUUGUAAACCUCUUUUAGCAGGGAAGAAGCGAAAGUGACGGUACCUGCAGAAAAAGCACCGGCUAACUACGUGCCAGCCGCCGCCGUAACAC